rnacentral:rRNA from 1 species
GACGAACGCUGGCGGCGUGCUUAACACAUGCAAGUCGAACGGAAAGGCCCUGCUUUUGUGGGGUGCUCGAGUGGCGAACGGGUGAGUAACACGUGAGUAACCUGCCCUUGACUUUGGGAUAACUUCAGGAAACUGGGGCUAAUACCGGAUAGGAGCUCCUGCUGCAUGGUGGGGGUUGGAAAGUUUCGGCGGUCGGGGAUGGACUCGCGGCUUAUCAGCUUGUGGGUGGGGUAGUGGCUUACCAAGGCUUUGACGGGUAGCCGGCCUGAGAGGGUGACCGGCCACAUUGGGACUGCGAUACGGCCCAGACUCCUACGGGAGGCAGCAGUGGGGAAUAUUGCACAAUGGGCGGAAGCCUGAUGCAGCAACGCCGCGUGCGGGAUGACGGCCUUCGGGUUGUAAACCGCUUUCGCCUGUGACGAAGCGUGAGUGACGGUAAUGGGUAAAGAAGCACCGGCUAACUACGUG